rnacentral:lncRNA from 1 species
ACGGAAUCUUCCGGCGAGGUAUUCAGCAACUGUGCCUUCUUGAAGCGAACUCGACUGCCCAAGAUUUGCCAGUCUCGGAGGAGCAUGGAUCGGCGAAACCAUCUUAAUUCUAUUUAAUCAUUGCCUUCCUUCUGUAUAGUCUAUUAUAGAUAUAUAUAUUUAUUAUUAUUUUCAUUUUCACCACUUGGCAACACAACUAGCCUUGUCGCCAAGUUACUGUUUAGUAGUAGCCAUUGUUAUUUCAGUUGUGAUCUGUGAGUCAAUUUACUGUCUGUCAAUCGUGCACGUCUGAUCAUACUUAGUGUUGUCUGUUCGUGAAACUUGUGAUUGUGAUUGCAUGCUUGGUGGCAAUUGUUUGCGUGUGCAAGCCUAAUUCCACACACGCCGACAUUGUCCAUAAUCUAUUCCUUGUAUGGUGAGAAUAUACCCUGUCCAAGGCAGCAAACUUACUGAUUUAGUCAGAGCUUCAGAAC